rnacentral:rRNA from 1 species
AAUCGCAGCGCCGACCUCAGAGCAAGUG